AGCAGCGUGGCGAAGUGGAAGCGUUCUUUGCUCAUAACGCAGAGGUCGGUGGAUCGAAGCCGCUCGCUGCUG
rnacentral:tRNA from 1 species